GGAGGGUGCAAGCGUUGUUCGGAAUUAUUGGGCGUAAAGAGCGUGUAGGCGGUCCGGUAAGUCAGAUGUGAAAGCCCUGGGCUCAACCCAGGAAGUGCAUUUGAAACUACCAGACUUGAGUACGGGAGAGGAGGGGGGAAUUCCCGGUGUAGAGGUGAAAUUCGUAGAUAUCGGGAGGAAUACCAGUGGCGAAGGCGCCCCUCUGGACCGGUACUGACGCUGAGACGCGAAAGCGUGGGGAGCAAACAGGAUUAGAUACCCUGGUAGUCCACGCCGUAAACGAUGAGCACUAGGUGUAGCGGGUAUUGACCCCCUGCUGUGCCGUAGCUAACGCAUUAAGUGCUCCGCCUGGGGACUACGGUCGCAAGACUA
rnacentral:rRNA from 1 species